UUGGACCCCCAAAACUGCCCAGCUCGGAUCCCUGCCGUCGCCAUUCCUUCUUCCCCAGACUCGCCCCCAAUCCCGGCAUCCAGCUCCGAUUCGCGCCCCCAAUCCUAGCACCAAUUCGCCGCUCCCACCUUCAGACGCGACCCCAAUACCGGCGCCCAGUUUGGAUCUUGGCGGCACCGCAUCAACCUAUCGUCGGCGCUCCUUCACCCACGAGACGCGUCCCCAACUCCGGCGCCGUACCACCCCCAUCCUGGCGCGUCUCGGUCUCCCGUCGGUUUGUCUUCUGGUUCUCUCCACUUUUCUGGAUCGGCGGUGACGGCCCCCAAGAUCCGCCGAAGCCGUCAACCUCAGGGCCGCCCGAUCGCCGGAGAAAAAGGCGGCUGCGUCCACCUCGCCCUCGGUGCCGCCCGAUCGCCGGAGAACAAGGCGGCUGCCGCGGCCAAAGACGCGGCACCGGCGCCGCUCGCUGCGCCUGCUCCAUCUCCCUCGCCAGUAGGGCAGAGGAUCUCUAGCUGGCAGGCCACGGGGUCCGUGCGCGCGCCCAUGCGGGUCGGCAAACUGGCCUCCGCCAUGCCUUCCUCGAGCAGAUCCACCUCCUAGCGCGGGGCCUCGGGCGCCAAGCAGCUCACGCGGCGACUGCGCCUGCAAGAAGACGCAGACGGAAGUGGCGGCAGGGAGGAGGACGAGCGCCUUCUGCUUCUGCUUAUUAUGCAAAUCGAUGAGUGUAUCAUCAGCGUCAGUCCAUCGCUCCCACUGGCACCGGCGACGGCCCACUCAGCCAGGUUCAGCGUCGAGUGUCUGAAAUGGCAAGGUCAACUUGCGGGGUUGCGGCGCCUGGCUCCAUCAUCAUCACCUGAAGCUGUCGAUUUCUUCUAAGGACACAUUGCAGGUGUGAGAGCAUCGAGUAAUCUCUGCACCAGGAUCACAUUAGAGCAGAUUGGUCAUAACAAGCAAGUUUGACAUUUGUUUGCAUUAUGGAAGACAUCCAAACUCGCUGUUAUGUCAGAUGCUGGUGAAAGCUGAAAUAUCUCUGAGGGAAAUGUAGAAAAAUCUUGCUAGCGUCAUCGUUUAUAUCUUUCCGAGACAUACAUUUGUGUGCCUGUAAUAUGAUUUCCAAGGCAUCCCGGUGCAUAAGAUAUAUAAAUUCUUUCAUGUAUACUU